rnacentral:rRNA from 1 species
AUUGAACGCUGGCGGCAGGCCUAACACAUGCAAGUCGAGCGAGCGGCGGACGGGUGAGUAAUGUCUGGGAAACUGUCUGAUGGAUGGGGAUAACUACUGGAAACGGUAGCUAAUCCCGCAUACCAUCAGAUGUGCCCAGGUGGGAUUAGCUAGUAGGUGGGGUAACGGCCAACCAAGGCGACGAUCCCUAGCUGGUCUCAGAGGAUGACCGGCCAAACUGGAACUGAGACACGGUCCAGACUCCUACGGGAGGCAGCAGUGGGGAAUAUUGCACAAUGGUCGCAAGCCUGAUCCAGCAAUGUCGCGUGUGUGAAGAAGGCCUUCGGGUUGUAAAGCACUUUCAGCAGGGAGGCGUUACCCGCAGAAGAAGCACCGGCUAACUCCGUGCCAGCCGCCGCGGUAAUAC